GGAUAGUCUGUGAUUCCAGAAUCUUUCUGCUGCUGAGAGUCUUCCCACGGAUGCAGAAAUCCCCAUCCCAGGAACCCAGCCCUAUAAACUUCCCAAGAACCCAGCUCUACAGACAUCCCAGCACACAUUGAACCCCCCAGUUUAAACCACAGCAACUGGUUUAUUCUCCCCCAGCUCCUGAAGGAGGCAAACAAGGGCAGUGCCUCAGAUCUCUGCAUGAAAACUGGCCUGGAUCCAAAUUAUUAUAAACCAGCUCUUCAUCCAUUUUUAAUGAACCUCUUGGGCUCCAGCUUUGGAUGUUUUAAUUCAAAGCAUGUCUGCAGCAGGGAAAAAUCUCUGGGACACGCUGCUCCAGAUGCACACACGGUGACUAAGCACUCCUGAGGAGCCAGGAACGCACACUGGGAGCUGAGUUUUACUGGAUUUUAGGGAAAAAUGUAAUACAAGGCUUUUUUAUGUGCUGGCAAAUUAAGGUCAUAAGGCUGAGAGAGCUGCUGGGCAAUUGCAGUGGGGUGAUGUGGGGUGGCAAUCACCCAGGAAAGCUUUGAUUAAAGGAGGAAAAGCA